AGCAGCCGCGGUAAUUCCAGCUCCAAUAGCGUAUAUUAAAGUUGUUGCAGUUAAAAAGCUCGUAGUUGAAUUUCGGGGUUAGUAGGUUGGUCAUGCCUCUGGUAUGUACUGGUCUCACUGAUUCCUCCUUCCUGAUGAACCUUAAUGCCAUUUAUUUGGUGUUUUGGGGAAUUUGGACUGUUACUUUGAAAAAAUUGAGUGUUUAAAGCAAGCUAACGCUUGAAUACAUUAGCAUGGAAUAAUAAAAUAGGACGGCAUGAUUCUAUUUUGUUGGUUUCUAGGAUCACCGUAAUGAUUAAUAGGGAUAGUUGGGGGCAUUAGUAUUCAAUUGUCAGAGGUGAAAUUCUUGGAUUUAUUGAAGACUAACUACUGCGAAAGCAUUUGUCAAGGAUGUUUUCAUUAAUCAGGAAC
rnacentral:rRNA from 1 species